UAUUAGUUGAAAUAAAGAUUUAAAACAAAAACAAUAAUAAUAAUAAUAAAAUAAGUAUUAGAACCACAUAAUUUACUUUUCCAUUCAUGUGCUGUAUUUCAUUUAUUGCUAAAAUAUAAAACAGAUCUAAUAAUUUUGUUUAGUUUUUGCGAUUAUGUUUUAUAUAUUUUAGAUAUGAUUCCUUGAUUUUUUUAAAUCGAUUUUUCCUCGAACAGUAUAUUCUUAAUUCGGAAAACAAAUUUCCGAGCGUGAGUGGUUCUAACCUAAACAUUUAGCUGAAUCUGAUACAUGAAUUACAUUAGUUACGUCGGUCUGCACUGGAGGUGGAAAGCCGAUCGAUACAUUCAGUGAUGUAAGGCAGCAGGGGGAAAGGUGCAGGACUCGUGAAACUAAGCCCACCCGUCUGAAUCAUGCAUAAAUUGGUGAAAGUGUCACAGUUAGACAAACGUGUUAAAGCUAGAACCGUCCAUGUAUUGUCUCUCGUCGUUCUGACUUUCCUGCACGUGGAGGGAAUCAUUGCCAUUUCCACAGGGAUAUGGCUUAUUGCGAGGUUAAAAAGUACGUCGUGUGAGUUUUUGAACCAGUUUGUGGCCGCCGGUGUAUUCUGGUUUGUGUCGGGGUUGUUGUGUACUUUAGUCAGCAUUCCCGGCAUUCUGAUGACAUUUAGGCAUAAGCAGUAUCUCCGCCCACCAUAUUUUAUCGGGGGUUUCAUUAUCAUCAUUAUUCUUGAAAGCACAGCUGCAAUAGUGUCCACGUUGGACUCGAAAAACUUGUCAAAUAAGUUCCAGGGCCAACUUUUAGAUUCACUUUUAGUGUCACCAAACAGAGAAUGCUGGGAAGAUAUUCAGGGGGAUUUUGAGUGUUGUGGAGCUACAAAAUAUCAAAACUGGCUCUCCGGUUCCAGUAGAAAUAUCUCUGUUACAACCACUUUGUGGGGAUUGUCCUCGUGCCGGUGUGAAGAAGCCAUUGCUAAAUGCAUAGACGUCACCAGUUUUAUCAAUGUAAACAUCACUUCGCCCUACAUAUGGCCGUCAGCAUGCUAUCAGAAACUGCUCACUUUUGUGGAGCUGCAGUGUAAUUUUCUGCGUAUUUUUUGUCCUAUUGUUGCCAUUUCUCAAUUGUUUGCAUGUACGUUUCUCGGAUAUGUGUUUAAGAAAUUAUUGGUGAAUAAUGCGGUUGAAACUGGUAUGCAGAAAUACAUGAUUCAGUUUUCCUCGCGACCGAAUCUUCGUGACAAUUCUAAGAGCAAUUCAAAUUGCCAUCAAGCCAGUUCACAUAUGUGAAUAUGCAUGUACUGUACAGUGAACAUAUUUAAAGCUUUGUUAUAAAAGCAUGUUCUUAAUCAAUCAGCCAGUGCUAAUUAUAACCCAGUACUUUACUUAUUCUCAAGCGAACGACUCCAAACGUCGCUUUAACUUUCCGGCUACAGAUUUGAUUAUAAAUCUGUUUUAGUGUGAUUUUUGUGUCAGAGAAAAUACCCCCUCCCCCGAAUAACACACAGGUGUGAGGUUUGACAAGUUUGCUGUCAUUUUAUUCUGAAUAUUUUGGCAUUUAAUUAAGUGGAUAAUUUCAUAUCAAAUUUCUAUGCCGCUUGAUAGGGCAAUGUCUUUUGAGAUAACUUUUUCGGCAUUUUCCACUUACUGUGACUUAAAAGAUUUCAUACAGUUAGCAAGAUUUGAAGGAGCUGCAAAAUAUAUCAUAUCUUAUUACCUUUUAUAUCAAGUUUAAUGAUAAGCGAACGAGGAUAGAUCCAACUCAACAUUUUACUUCACUAAAGUGGAGUCGUUUGUUUGAGAAUGUGUGACUUGCCUUACGAUCACAGGGGCUAAGCCCGUUUUGGUCUCGAACUCGUUAUGGUAUCACAGGGUUUGAGCCCAAAACGAGCUUAGCCCCUGCGAUUGCGAUAGUUAAAUCUGAUUACGCUCAACAUAAUUCCGGAUUGUAUUUUGCGAGUUAUUUCAACAGAACAUUUUUAUAAUAUUGCCAAACUGUUGCACUGUGUUGAAUGGGAUGCGAUCGAUGAAUACCACUAUUGAUAAAUGUAUGUAUGUAACUGAAUACAUGUACAUAGAAAUUGUGCCGAGUGUAAACCUAGUCCUACAAUGUACAUUCUGAUUUUAGCAAAUUACUUCAAAUGUUGCACAUUAAUUUAUCGACGAACGAUUCAGUAUAUCGGUAUUCUGAUGUUGAUUAUAGAGAUCUAGUCAUGCCGUGUAUAUGUACAUGUACCCCCUGAUCGACCUCAGAGUCACCAAGACAGUCAGCUUUCUAUCUGUAUUUACAUUUUAUUGCUCAAUUCCUCUGUAUAAGUCACACUUUGAAAUCAUAUACCGUGUACCGGUACAUAUAUAUUUUAUAUUUCUUAAGAAUUAUACAUUAUAUUUUUCCAAUGUCUGAAAAUUGAUUAGCACUGAAUAAUUUCUUUUAUGAAAUGAAUGUGUACUCAAGUUAGUGGUAUUUGUAUUUCAGGGACGUUUAAUAGAUUGGCUGAAUUAUAGUCAAUACCGAAUUAUAAAUAUCAAUACAACUGAAAAACUACUUGUAGUAACGAUUGAUUGUAAAAUCAAAUCAAAUAUAUUAGCAUGCAGUUUUACUUACGCAUGUAGUAGGUAAAUAUUUUAGAAUAUUUUUAUAUGAGUGAACUGCAGGUUUAUUGUUGGUUAUGUUUAAAACCUCUUGCAGUCCAAUAUAUGGUGCCAUGGAAUCACUGCAGUGGUGGAUCUAGAGGGUUAACCCCUUCCCCAUUUGGCAGAAUUUUGUUUUGAAAAAGGUUAUUUUUGCCAUUUUGGGGAUUUUCAUCCCAAAACUUUCUUUCUUAAGUGGAAAAAGUACAAACUUGGGUCACAACACCCACCCACGACCUUUUUGGAAAAAAAAAAUCUGGAUCCACCAUUGCUUUUUAAAUGAUGUAAGAAAGGGUUCAAUAGAUUAAAGAAUUACAGCUACAGGUACUACCGUAAUAGGAUCCUUGCAUUAGUACAAUCAUAGACGUAUAUAUCUCAUAGGAAAGAUGUUUAAUUCCCAAUCAUUUUACCACUGUUCCUUUAUUGGUGCAGUCUUACAAAUAGCUAUAGUAAGUUGUUGAUAAUAUUUGUUGAUUUUUAAUUGUUUUUUAUUAAAAUCUUUACUGAAAAUUUUAAAAUUUCAAUAAAAUGUUGCAUUUGCCA